GAUUCCUCUCAGCUUUCCUGUGCUUCCCCCAGCCUCCAGAAGGCCAGUGCGGUAGAGCUGGUAAAGACUCAGAUGCCUCAGAGGUAUUGCUUUUUGCUCUGCUGCUGUCUCCAGCUUUUGGAAGAACCUGCCUUGUAAUCCGUGAGGGCCUGGGGGACUCGAGAGGAAUUUCUUCUAGCUCUCCAGCCUACCUCCAACCUUAGGAAGGUCACUGCCCUCAGAGUACUUGAUUACUCAUCUUUACCAUGCCAGAGAUGAAGGAAGCCAUAGCCUCUUCUCUCCUAGGAAGUGUUUAUCACCUUCUGGAAUUUGCUUUGUUUAGAUUUGUGUCCUCAGCUCUCUGAUGGCAAGAGAAGGCAGUGUGUCUCUGGAAAAUCUUCCCUGGAAUCUGGUGUCCCUGGAAAAUUUUCCAAGUCGCCUAGUGAGACUGGAACAGCUCAGAAGAAACAGUCCACUCACUCAUACAUUCCACAAGCAUGCCUUGGGUACCUACUAGAUAAUGAGACUGCGAUAUAGAGGUAAAAUAAAUUGCCCCAAGUCACAGACGGUGAGAGAGCUGAGACUGAAACCCUGGCUGUCUUAUCCAAGGAAACAAACAACUCGAGACAAGAGAUGUAAAGAAAGGCGAAG